GUUUUCCGGGUUUAGCAUAUAUAUAUAUUAUGAGUAUGAGUGAUUGGCGGGUAUUGUGGAGGUGAUGUUUAAGAUAGAUUCACAUGGAUGGAUUGAGAGGCGCUACAAAAAAAGAUGGAUAUUGUGACUAAUUUUUGUGUCAAAAUAGUUUGUCACAAUGUUGUGACUAAUUGUUAACUAACUUGUGACCAAGUUAUUACGUUACAAAAUAGUAACUAUUUUGUCAUAAUAUUGCAACUGAAUGUUAAGUAACAAAAGAAUGUCACAAAUGAUGACGAAUUAGAGACAAAAAUUUGUCAUAAAUAUUUCUAUAAAUUAUGCGAUCAAAAUGCUAUUAGUUUUACGAUUUCAAUGUCUAAAAUUAUGUCAUCAAUGUAACUGUUAUGAAAAAUCAUAUAUUUUUUUACAUAUGAUGAAAUUAAGCAAUAAAAUAAAAUCUAUCCUAUACUAAAAGGAAGAUAUAAUCAAAGGAGAGUGUGUCCACGUAGGCAUUUUAAUUCCAUCCAAUUAGAAACUUCCGUUUCUCCACGUCACUUCAGCUCUCCGUAAUACCUUUGCGUAGAAGAAGCCCAUUUAAUUUUCCACAUAGGCCCAGUUUUUGGUUUGCACGCCUCCAACCCUGAUACGGCAUAAUCGAUGAACUGAAAUUCUUCUCUCCUCUGCGUGCGAUGGAGAUUUGGUGACCUAUGCGCUUCAUCUCACUAUCUGAAACGGUCUGAGUUAUGGCUUCGUGUUUAAUCCCCUUGAUUCUCGCCCAUGGUGAGGCUUUGAAUGUGCUGUCUAGAUCUAAAAGCCUGUGUGUGUUGGGUAUAAAUAUAGGUGAGUAUUGCUCUUCUUGAACUCAUCUAUUCUCAUAUCUCUUAUAUAGCAUACUAAUUCACGGCUUAAUCGCUAACUCAAGGGUGUUCUUCUCCAAUCUGAAGUUCGGCAAGUGUUCCUCCGCUAGGCUGUUGUGGAUCUGGGAAUUUGAUGGCCUAAACCAGCAUGAUUACAGAUGCAUUUAAUACCCCCUUUCGAUUGAGCUCAUCACUACGAUAAGAAAGUGUUUGGUUUCAUCCAAGGAUAUGAGCGUGUCUUGGAUACUGCUUGCUUUGAUCACAGAGGUAAACCAGAACAUCCGGACUUUACACUCGAGAAAGAUGGAGCCAUAUGCGUAAGUAGACAUUCUAAAGUAUCUGUAUGAUGCAAGGAUCUCAGAGUCUGUUUGUGAGGCCUGCUGCAUUUUGUUUCUGUCGCAGACCAGAAGAAGAACGUUUGGCAAUGGAGGUGUGUUUAUGCAUCAAAUAACUAAAGUAUCUCUCUUUCACGGCUCUCUGACUCCGUAAGCUCCUAAUCUGACCCUUGGGUUAUCAUGAUAUGAGAUUCUCAAUUACUGUUUGGAGUCUUUAUCUUUUUCAAAGUUGUGCGUAGUCUUGAGGUGUUAAAGGUAUGAUUGUAUUUACUUUUUCCUCCUGCUAUUGAGUAGUACUAAAUAAUAAGAUUUUAUUUUGUUGUUUUAGUUUCUCUGUGAAUAUAACAUUGUAAAUGUCUUCACUUGGUAUCAAGGUCAUCGAGAAAGAGAGAGUGUACCAAUUGUAAAUUUAUUGUGCAAAAACAUUUAUUUAUUUAUUUUUAUACAA